rnacentral:lncRNA from 1 species
GUGCCGCCGUACACAACCCUAAUUUGUAACGAUCAUCAACAAUGUUAGAGGAAAAGAGGCGACGUGAUCUCAGGGGAACUGAAGAACGUAGAUGUUACUCGAUCAUAACAUGUUGAGAAUUCAUAGGUUAUAACAAGUAUCCCGUGCAAUCUGACUGCACAUGGGUGUGAUGCAGCUGAUGGAUUUUUAAGUGAUUGGUGGGGGCAAGACCCAAAUUCCCCGGAGAAUCUAUUGGAUGAAGAUUAUGAUCCGUCUCCAUCUACAUCCCAACUGACCCACAGGAAAGAUCGCAGGAGAUCAGUUUCAAGAACCAAAGAUACGGUUGUGGUCCCCGAAAAGCGUUCUAAAUUCAAGAUUGGACAACAUGUUAUACUUACAGAUGAUAAGGGACAAG